AUUGAACGCUGGCGGCAUGCCUUACACAUGCAAGUCGAACGGUAACAGGUCUUCGGAUGCUGACGAGUGGCGAACGGGUGAGUAAUGCAUCGGAACGUGCCCAGUUGUGGGGGAUAACUGCUCGAAAGAGCAGCUAAUACCGCAUACGACCUGAGGGUGAAAGCGGGGGAUCGCAAGACCUCGCGCAAUUGGAGCGGCCGAUGUCAGAUUAGGUAGUUGGUGGGGUAAAGGCCUACCAAGCCGACGAUCUGUAGUUGGUCUGAGAGGACGACCAGCCACACUGGGACUGAGACACGGCCCAGACUCCUACGGGAGGCAGCAGUGGGGAAUUUUGGACAAUGGGCGCAAGCCUGAUCCAGCAAUGCCGCGUGCAGGAAGAAGGCCUUCGGGUUGUAAACUGCUUUUGUACGGAACGAAACGGCUCUCACUAAUACUGGGGGCUAAUGACGGUACCGUAAGAAUAAGCACCGGCUAACUACGUGCCAGCAGCCGCCGUAACAC
rnacentral:rRNA from 1 species